ensembl:lncRNA
UCCGCCGCCGGCGCUAACACAAUAGUGAGGGCUGCGCUCCCGGCCGUCGGCAGCCCUGCCGCAGCGGCUGCUCCAGGGGGGCAGGUCGGGUCCAACUUGGCCCGGGCAGGUUCUGUUCCUGAGAAGUGGGACGGUGCUCCCUGCGUCUUGGCCCGCUCAUUUCUUUUCUGUGGAGAAAAUCGUAGAUUAAGCGCGUUUCUUCUCUCUUCACCCUGAGGCCUGCUGUUGGAAUUUCAUUCAGCGGGGAAGAGACCCUGGAUGUCAGAAUUGUAUUUUGCUCGGCCCCAAAUUCCUUCCUGUCAGGAGCUGCUUUCGGACUUUUUUUCCCCUGCGGGUGAAAGGUGUCUCUGCCUGUGUGCUUUGCAGAUCCUUACCAAUUGUGAUGAAAUCUGAGAAUACUCUCGUGCCAAGUGGUUUCUGGUAGGAGGACAGAACUUUUUCGUACCAGGGCAGACCCUGAGCCUGCUGCCGAUAGAGGUCCCAAGUGACAGAUUGCGAGCGUGUCUCUGUGACUUCUACGUGGAUGAAACCCAGCUCCUCUUAGUCGCCGCGUGUGACACAAAGUGAAAAUGCAGUCUUUUGCACUGUUAAAGCUAGAUUCCUGGAAGUGGAAUUGCCGCAUUGUAUGCAAUUAUUACAUGCUUAACCCCCUCGAUUCAGCUGUGAGCUCCUAGAGGGUAAAGCGACUGAGGUACAGAGAAGAUAAGCAAGUUGUCCAGGGUCACACAACAUACAAACAGCCAGGAGUUCUGAUAGAGAAUCUGCCUCUUCAAGACUUCAGAGGAUUUCACUGGAUCACUCUGGCCAGUGCAGCCCUCCAGGGAAUAUGUACUGAGUGACACUUCACAGAACGAAACAGAAAGCAGUGGUUGAUUUGACCCACUACAGAUGACAGAAACGGAACCAACCGAGUGACUGAUGACAAUUAUUUCCAACAUUUAAAAUACCGAGAUGAGAAAACUGGCAACAGAAAAACUGGAUAAUUUACCCAAAGUCAUUUCUCUAGGAAAUUAUAGAGCUGGUACUCAAUCUCAGGCCAUCUGAUCCAAAUCCAUGUAAAUAACAGUUAUCCCAGGAGUCUGUAAGAAUGCAUGUGGCCAGCAAGUCCCUGACCUUACAGUGACUGUGAACAUGAGUGGGGGGAGGGAAAACUGGAUCCAUUGGUUCUCAUUCUAUGAACCCAGUGUACGAGGAAUCUUAUUUUCUAAGGAAAUAAACUCAACUUCUGCUAUCAGCCUAGUCAGGUGAGACAGAAGCACGAAGUCAUUUAACUAUCAGCGUACACCUGACCCCUGGUGUCUGCCAGGGAUUGGUUGCAGGCCCCCGAGGAUAACACAGUUCACAGCUGCUCAAGUCCCUUCUAUAACAUGGUGUAGUGUUUGCAUAUAAUCUCCACACCUCCUCCUGUAGACUCUACGUCAUCUCUAGAUUACUUACAAUACAGAAUACAAUGUACAUACUAUGUAAAUAGUUGCCUUCACAUUUGUAAAUUUAAGUUUUGCUUUUUGGAACUUUCUGAAGUUGUGUUCGAAUAUGUUCAUUCUGCUGUUGGUUGAAUCUGGAUGCGGAAACCACAGAUAAGGAGGGCCAACUGUAUGUAACUAUGUGAGAUGAUCCCCAGCUGAAAAAGAGGAAGCGAAACGGAUACACCCUUAUGCCUGUAGAGAUACAAGAUUCUGCUUCCCCAGAUGGCCUCAGCAGGGGUGGGUUCUGUGAGACCUGCUUUAUAAAGAGAAGGGCAAUGUCACCAGACUCAUAUCUGUGGAACUCGGUUAGCAUUCUGUAAAGAGGGAGCCGGUUACACCGUACCAGCUGUCAAUACUCCUGUUUUAAUAAGAAAACCACUUUUGGAACAAAAUCGGACCGACACUGGGAUAGACUAGGAUGGCGUAGACACAACAAGUACUAACUUGGUGUGGGAUUAUUAAGACGCAAGCUCCCCAACCCAGCUGAGUCAAUGGGCAGGAUCCCUUUGCAGUUUUCAACUUGUCCUGAAAUGCUAUAAGCCUCCUGCCACGUGGAAUCAGGGCAGCGUCUGUGGAAACCAAUGAGGACUGUCACACCACCCAGGAAGAGAGCGGCGGGGUGCUGUGAACGGCUAUCUGGAUACGCGUGUCUGGCAGUGAAAAGACAAUGGCUUCUAGCCAUAGAGUCACACCUUUUGAUUAACGAGGAAAAGGGAGGACCUCUUCUGUUUGGACCAACUCAGUAUUCCCUAGACAACUAAGUUUCCUUUUUUCUGCCUCUCCUGACAGUCCUGAGAGGCGGCUUGGACCGUCUCGCCUGGUCGCAUGACUUCUGCUGUCCAGAUCUGCACAGGCUGCCCCUUUCCUCCUCGUUGCUCUCUGGGCUCCUAAACACCAGGUUGGCUUUGGGCGCUCCGGGUCUCCUAAAGCCUUCCUUUGGGACUUCUGGUCAGCUCGGUAGCUGCUAGUUUCUAGCACACUGAAUUUUGCCUGCCUUUGGCCUCUGGAUCACUUAGUUGUUUGUUUGUUUUUUCCCUUUGAUUCUUGUGUACCACACUCCUCUUUUUUUCAUGCUGGCUGGCCCAUUGCCCAGCAGACAUCCAUUUCCAACUUUCCUUACCUGUUUGAUUUUGUUUUACCUGUUUCUGCAAAGCACUAUCAUGACUCAGAAUCCCAGAACUGACAUUUUUGAUGGAGCCGUCAAGAGGAAAUGCUUUUUGGAAAGAGGAAAUGCACAAUUAGAGGAGAAGAUGGUUUAGCCUUCUUUAGAUUUGAGUCUCAGGAAGGCAACAAUAGAGACAAGAAAGUUUAAAAGACCUGAAUUAUAGCAGAAUGCCAUUUGUUGUUGUAAUACAUGUAAAAAAAUAAUAAUUAUCUCAGAAUAAUUUGGAAUAAGAAACCGGAUAGAUCAUUGAUCCUUAAUAAUAGCCAAUUUUUCUUUU